UACGUAGGGACCAAGCGUUGUUCGGAUUUACUGGGCGUAAAGGGCGCGUAGGCGGCAAUUCAAGUCAUCGUUGUGAAAUCUCCGGACUUAACUCGGAACGUGAGUGAUACUGCUUUGCUAGAGUCAGAAGGGAGGAAUCGGAAUUCUUGGUGUAGCGGUGAAAUGCGUAGAUAUCAGAGGAACACCGUGGCGAAGGCGGGUUGCUAGGCUGACACUGACGCUGAGUGCGCGAAAGCCAGGGGAGCAAACGGG
rnacentral:rRNA from 1 species